AUUUUGCGUUAGGGAUAGUAGUGGAAAUCCUUUUGUGCCAGGGUUUGGCACAAAAGAUUGCAACGGAUAGCCCGACCCUUG
rnacentral:sRNA from 1 species